rnacentral:misc_RNA from 1 species
UCCUAGCCUCGAUCGAAGCAUUUGUCUGAGCUCAUUUUCAGGUAUUUGUUUCGGCGGCUUCGCCGCCGAAACAAAUACCUGAAAAUAGCGAGUGCGGAGAGCGGGAAAAAGC